CAGAGUUGCAAAACUCCCAACCCUUUGUGAACGAACCUACCAGUUGCCUCGGCGGCGAGCCCCCUGGGCGGACCGCCGGCGGAAUACAAACUCUUUGCAUUACAGUAUCUCUGAUUACUUAUUCAAUAAGUUAAAACUUUCAACAACGGAUCUCUUGGUUCAGGCAUUUCGCUGCGUUCUUCAUCGAUGCCAGAACCAAGAGAUCCGUUGUUGAAAGUUUUUACUUAUUGAAUAAGUACUCAGAGAAACAAUAAUAACAUAAUA
rnacentral:misc_RNA from 1 species